rnacentral:rRNA from 1 species
AGGGUGACAGCCCCGUACACAAAAAUGCACAUAUUGUGAGCUCGAUGAGUAGGGCGGGACACGUGGUAUCCUGUCUGAAUAUGGGGGGACCAUCCUCCAAGGCUAAAUACUCCUGACUGACCGAUAGUGAACCAGUACCGUGAGGGAAAGGCGAAAAGAACCCCGGCGAGGGGAGUGAAAAAGAACCUGAAACCGUGUACGUACAAGCAGUGGGAGCCUCUUUAUGGGGUGACUGCGUACCUUUUGUAUAAUGGGUCAGCGACUUAUAUUCUGUAGCAAGGUUAACCGAAUAGGGGAGCCGAAGGGAAACCGAGUCUUAACUGGGCGUUAAGUUGCAGGGUAUAGACCCGAAACCCGGUGAUCUAGCCAUGGGCAGGUUGAAGGUUGGGUAACACUAACUGGAGGACCGAACCGACUAAUGUUGAAAAAUUAGCGGAUGACUUGUGGCUGGGGGUGAAAGGCCAAUCAAACCGGGAGAUAGCUGGUUCUCCCCGAAAGCUAUUUAGGUAGCGCCUCGUGAAUUCAUCUCCGGGGGUAGAGCACUGUUUCGGCAAGGGGGUCAUCCCGACUUACCAACCCGAUGCAAACUGCGAAUACCGGAGAAUGUUAUCACGGGAGACACACGGCGGGUGCUAACGUCCGUCGUGAAGAGGGAAACAACCCAGACCGCCAGCUAAGGUCCCAAAGUCAUGGUUAAGUGGGAAACGAUGUGGGAAGGCCCAGACAGCCAGGAUGUUGGCUUAGAAGCAGCCAUCAUUUAAAGAAAGCGUAAUAGCUCACUGGUCGAGUCGGCCUGCGCGGAAGAUGUAACGGGGCUAAACCAUGCACCGAAGCUGCGGCAGCGACACUAUGUGUUGUUGGGUAGGGGAGCGUUCUGUAAGCCUGUGAAGGUGGCCUGUGAGGGUUGCUGGAGGUAUCAGAAGUGCGAAUGCUGACAUAAGUAACGAUAAAGCGGGUGAAAAGCCCGCUCGCCGGAAGACCAAGGGUUCCUGUCCAACGUUAAUCGGGGCAGGGUGAGUCGACCCCUAAGGCGAGGCCGAAAGGCGUAGUCGAUGGGAAACAGGUUAAUAUUCCUGUACUUGGUGUUACUGCGAAGGGGGGACGGAGAAGGCUAUGUUGGCCGGGCGACGGUUGUCCCGGUUUAAGCGUGUAGGCUGGUUUUCCAGGCAAAUCCGGAAAACCAAGGCUGAGGCGUGAUGACGAGGCACUACGGUGCUGAAGCGACAAAUGCCCUGCUUCCAGGAAAAGCCUCUAAGCAUCAGGUAACAUCAAAUCGUACCCCAAACCGACACAGGUGGUCAGGUAGAGAAUACCAAGGCGCUUGAGAGAACUCGGGUGAAGGAACUAGGCAAAAUGGUGCCGUAACUUCGGGAGAAGGCACGCUGAUAUGUAGGUGAAGCGACUUGCUCGUGGAGCUGAAAUCAGUCGAAGAUACCAGCUGGCUGCAACUGUUUAUUAAAAACACAGCACUGUGCAAACACGAAAGUGGACGUAUACGGUGUGACGCCUGCCCGGUGCCGGAAGGUUAAUUGAUGGGGUUAGCGGUAACGCGAAGCUCUUGAUCGAAGCCCCGGUAAACGGCGGCCGUAACUAUAACGGUCCUAAGGUAGCGAAAUUCCUUGUCGGGUAAGUUCCGACCUGCACGAAUGGCGUAAUGAUGGCCAGGCUGUCUCCACCCGAGACUCAGUGAAAUUGAACUCGCUGUGAAGAUGCAGUGUACCCGCGGCAAGACGGAAAGACCCCGUGAACCUUUACUAUAGCUUGACACUGAACAUUGAGCCUUGAUGUGUAGGAUAGGUGGGAGGCUUUGAAGUGUGGACGCCAGUCUGCAUGGAGCCGACCUUGAAAUACCACCCUUUAAUGUUUGAUGUUCUAACGUUGGCCCGUAAUCCGGGUUGCGGACAGUGUCUGGUGGGUAGUUUGACUGGGGCGGUCUCCUCCUAAAGAGUAACGGAGGAGCACGAAGGUUGGCUAAUCCUGGUCGGACAUCAGGAGGUUAGUGCAAUGGCAUAAGCCAGCUUGACUGCGAGCGUGACGGCGCGAGCAGGUGCGAAAGCAGGUCAUAGUGAUCCGGUGGUUCUGAAUGGAAGGGCCAUCGCUCAACGGAUAAAAGGUACUCCGGGGAUAACAGGCUGAUACCGCCCAAGAGUUCAUAUCGACGGCGGUGUUUGGCACCUCGAUGUCGGCUCAUCACAUCCUGGGGCUGAAGUAGGUCCCAAGGGUAUGGCUGUUCGCCAUUUAAAGUGGUACGCGAGCUGGGUUUAGAACGUCGUGAGACAGUUCGGUCCCUAUCUGCCGUGGGCGCUGGAGAACUGAGGGGGGCUGCUCCUAGUACGAGAGGACCGGAGUGGACGCAUCACUGGUGUUCGGGUUGUCAUGCCAAUGGCACUGCCCGGUAGCUAAAUGCGGAAGAGAUAAGUGCUGAAAGCAUCUAAGCACGAAACUUGCCCCGAGAUGAGUUCUCCCUGAGACUUAGAGUCUCCUGAAGGAACGUUGAAGACGACGACGUUGAUAGGCCGGGUGUGUAAGCGCAGCGAUGCGUUGAGCUAACCGGUACUAAUGAACCGUGAGGCUUAACCUUACAACGCCGAAG